rnacentral:rRNA from 1 species
AUGCGCCAGGCAGGCAUCGUCAUGUUAGGUCUGGCUGGUUUGCUACGAUCAAGAUCAGUCGGCGGCCUCGAGGGCCAUGAGGAUGGCCCUGAAGAGGUUGAUGAUGUCGAGGUAGAGGGUGAUGGAGGCGGCGACGUACUCGUCGUAGGUGUAGCGCUUGAUGAGGUUGUCGGUGUCGUAGAUGAUGAAGGCGGAGAAGAUGAGGGCGGCGAUGCAGCCGUAGACGAGCACGGCCGUCUUGCCCAUGGGGAAGAGGAUGAUGACGAUGGCGUAGAGCAUGAGGAUGACGCAGGCGGCGAAGAGGAAGGGCCCCAGGAACUCGAAGUCGUGGCCGCGCCUGCCCGCCCAGAAGGUGUAGGCGGUGAGGGAGACGACGACGACGAGCGUCAUGCCCGCCGCCUCGAAGAUGAUGGGCCCGCGCUUGGUGAGGCACCCCAGCCCCACCGACAGGCUGACGCACACGGUGAAGAUGCCCAGGAACACCAUGUUCACCGGGUGCUUCUUCCGGUAGUAGACCAUGGGCAGCAUCACUGCGCUUGCAGCCACUGCGUCCAUCAGCAACGCAUGGAGAAAUUAGGCAUGAAUGAAAAGCGAAGCAGAGAUGCCGACCGAGGAGGGGGGAGAUGA